AUGCUGCCGGCUGGCGUCAAGUUCGAUCCCACGGAUCAAGAGCUGAUCGAGCACCUUGAGGCCAAAGUGAGUGCUGACAGCGCGAAAUCUCACCCUCUCAUCGAUUUGUUCAUACCAACCAUCGACAGCAAGCACGACAUAUGCUACACCCAACCUGAGAAACUUCCAGGUAUCACACUGAGUGGCCUAAGGAAGCAUUUCUUCCAGCGCAAUUCCAAGGCGUUCAAAAGGGGCAUGUGGACGCGUCGCAAGAUACAGUCGGAGUGCGGCAUGCACGCGAUGUGGCACAAGACUGGCAAUACCUUGCUGGUGAUGGUCAACGGCCGGCAGACGGGCAACAAAAAGGUUCUAAUGCUGCACACCAAUAAGAACUUCGACCAGCAGAGGACCAACUAG
rnacentral:rRNA from 1 species